GCGCUUACAAUUUUAAAACCAGAACGUUAGUUAUAUUUUAAUUAGAACAAGUACACGAUAAACAUAAAUAUUUUAGAUUUUAUAUAUAUAUUCUUAUAUCUAUUUAUUUUAAGUGUUCUUUACGAUUCAAAUAAAAAAUAUUUUAUUUAUGAAACCAACCAACAAACUACAGGCGUACAAGUUAAUAAACUAAUAGUAUAACUUUCGCACGACUUAGACUAAUAGUAUAACUUUCGUUGAAUUCAUUAUGGGUUGAUAUUUUCAUAUCUUAUCUUAUAUAUUAGCGUUUUAUUGUUCAAAAGUUGAGGUUUAUGGGAUUAGUCAGUGUUAUAUAUAGAUAAAAUAGUGUAAGGAAAAAAAUGUAAAAUCUGGAUUUAAAAAAAUUAACAAUGACGUGUCUCAAGAUUCACAAGAGGAUACAAGAACCAGGAAGAGUGGAUUUGCGAGUAUGGUGAAAAGUAGCUUCAAGGAUCUAAAGAAAUCGAUGCAGAACGAAGGGGGAAGUGAUGUUUUGGUGAAUGGGCAUCUUGUAGCUGAACGCCUGGUGAAAAUGGCAGAGGAGCAAGCUGGACUAAUCCGGCUAAGAAACUAGUGGUACACCAGGUCCUUCAAAACUCUUCUCAUUUACUAAGCUCUAGUUACUCUCUUCUGUUCCUUGGUAUCAGGUACGACUACAGAGCUGGAUUCUGGGGGAUCAUGGGUGGUCAAUGUCUUGGAUUAUUACCUGUAAACAUCAUAUUCUUUAGUUUCUCUAAAAAAAAUUUAACGUGUAGUAGCCGUGACUCAUUUCUUAAAGCCUUUCACUGAAGAGCUAAAUAGUCUUGGCAAACUUGCCCCAACGGUUGAUAAGCUAAAACGUGGGUUCGGGAUGAGAGUUCCGAGAAUAUAUGCACGAAGAAAUGUUCACGAGCCUCACUACUAUGUUGUUAGUUCACAGAGCAUCCGUGUUAGAUUAUCCUAGCAUUCUAAGUUAAAAACGUUGUUCUUAAUGUACAGAGCCUUGUGAAAUGUAAGGAAUGAAGAGAAAUGUGCAAAAUAAAAUUAUCAUUAUUAGCAAGAAGAAGCUAAAACAGACAAAAAAGAAAUGGGUUGCCAAAAAAAAAAAAAAAAAAAAAAAAAAAAGCUUACAACACAC